GCGCGAGGCUGUCAACCAUCAUCACGCCCCCCUCCCAUCCUCACGAGACAGGAAUAUAUCUCAAUCAUCCCGUUACAGGUAAAUGUGAGGUUUUAUUGAAAUUUCUGUAUCAUCUUUUUAUUUUUCCUUGUUUUCAAGAUGCAGCACAUCGUGUUUCUGAAUUUAUUUGCCUAUUUGAAAAACAGGGAAAAAUAUUGUAUUCGUUUUUAGUGUUUACCCAUGUGACCCAUGGUUUUAAUCAUAGACUGUGUAUAUACUCUAUACUAUAUUAUAUAUAGAUUAUAUAGACAGCCUUUGAUUAUAAGUGGUCGAACCAGGUCUUUUUUAUGUAAGGAAAAAAUGACAUGAUUUGUGAGUAGGUUUAACAUCUCAGCUAUAAUAUAAUAAUUGUGCCAUCUAGAGAUUACCUUUUACAAGCCCAAAUCCUGAAAAGUUGGGAUGCAAUGUUAAAUGUACAUCAAAAAUUGUGAUGGUUUGCAUCUCACUCAAACCUUUUAUUUGAAUAAAAGCAAUGUAAAGACAUCAUAUUCAAUGUGGAAAACAGUAAAUUUUAUGGUUCAUGAAGAUAUGCUGUUUUGAUAUGAAAAAUGUCGGGAUCAGGACAACAAAACCUUGAGAAAGUUGUGUAAUCCAAAAAACAAAACACCUGAAGGGAACAACGCCCAGAUAAAUGGAUGGGUUAAUUUACAACAGCUGGGUAAAAUCACAAAGUAUGAAAAAGACAUUUCUGAGAGGAGAGAUGGGAUGUUCACCAUCACUGUGAGAAACUGUGUGAGUAAAUAGUUCAACAGCAGCAGGAUAAAACUCCCCUGAAUUAAGAAUUUUAGUUUGAAUCAUGUACAUAAUAAAAUAAUAAGAACAUGAAAUUCUGGAGAAAUCUUUGUUGAAAAAGGGACAGGGUAGAAAAUCAACUCUUUAUAAUGAUAAAAAAAAUGAAAUCCAAGAGCAUAUUAUACAACGCUCAGAAGCAUGUCAAAAAAGACAAAUAAAUAAAUAAAUAAAACACAAUAACCUAAAUGAACUCUGAAUGAACCCAGGCAGUGCGGGGACAAAACUACAUAAAAAGAGACCUGAGGCCCAGAGAUAAAAGAGCAUAUAGAAAGACCAAAUAGAGUUUAAGUUUAGAGGAAAAAAUGGCUGGAAUUUUUCAGUCUCUCACAUGGCACUGCUUUAACAACCAAUAUGACUCACAUGCUCAAGAUAUAAUUUAAACCAUUUUUUGUGAACACAGUUUAUUGUUAAAUCCACAAAUGCACAGUAAAACUCUGCCAAAUAAUAAUAAUAAUAAUAAUAAUAAUAAUAAUAAUAUCUUACAUUUGUAUAGCGCCUUUCAAGAUACCCAUACAAGUGAUCCAGAAAUGGACUGUGGCCAAGUGGAGAAGUGCCCUGUGAUUUUACAAACCAAAUUUGACAUUAUUUUUGGUAAUCAUAGAUGCCCUGUUCUCUGCUGUAAAGAAGACUGUGACCAUCUUGUCAUUAGUGCACAGUUCAAAAGCCAGCAUUCAUAUGGAGAUGCAUGAGUGUUCAAGGCUAGGGUCAUAAUUUUAUCUCAGAAAGCACCAUCAAUGCUGAACAGUAUAUUCGGGUUUAAGAGCAAUGUAUGCUGCCAAAAAGAUCCUUUCUUUUUCAAACAAGACAACGCCAAACCACAUUCUGCAUGAAGUAACAUGGCUCUGUAGUUUUAGAGUCCAUUUGCUAAACUGGCCUGUCUGCAGUCCAGAUUUGUCACCUACUAAAAUAUCUGGCCCAUCAUCAAACAGAAAGUAUGAAGGAGGAGAUCCUUAGCUGUUAAGCAGCUAAAAUCCAUCAGCAGGAACAGGACAAUGUUUCACUUUAAUAACUCAGAACUGGGGCAGCACAGUGUUGUAGUGGUUAGCACUGUCGCCUCACAGCAAGAAGGUCCUGGGUUCGAAUCCAGGUCAGGGCAUUUCUGUGUGGAGUUUGCAUGUUCUCCCUGUGUCUGCGUGGGUUUACUCCAGGUACUCUGGUUUCCUCCCACAUACCAAAAACAUGCCUAAGUGGGGUUAGGUUAAUUGGCCACUUCCAGGUUGCCCAUAGGUGUGAAUGGUUGUUCGUCUCUAUUUGCAGCCCUGCGAUGAACUGGCGUCUUGUCCAGGGUGUCCCCUGCCUUCACCCAAAAGAUGCUGGGAAAAUACCUACACAGCAUGCUGGGAUAGGCUCCAGCCCCCGCGACCCUGGGAACAGGGAUAAGAGGUAGAAAAUGGAUGGAUGGAACUCAGAACUUGUCUCCUUGUUCCUCAAAUGAGGGUUUAUAACAAAGAGACGAUGCUGCAGGAUGGAAAAAAUGUUGGUGUUCUGACUUAAUAAAUGUGUUGCUGGUAUUGAAUUAAAAGUCAGCAUGUAUUUUUCCUCAAACCUUUGAAAUCUCCACUUUCAACAUUUGAUAUGUGUUGAUAUGUGUGUUUGAACUACUGUUGAGUGAAUACAGCAUUUAAAAUGAUUGGCAAAUCAUUAUAUUCUAUUUCUAUAAACAUUUAACACAAUAUACCAACUUUUCUGAUUUCUCUUCUUUUUUUCUUUUCUGGGUUGUUAGUGUGAGCUGAUAAAACUGAAAAUCAACAAAAUUUAGAAGUGAAUGAGCUAAAAACAGAUUUUAUUAAAUCCUUUAAUGGCCAGGUAGAAGAAAAAUUAUGAGUGAAUGACUUUUUUAUUAUUCAUAUUAUUUGAAAUAUAUUUAAAACUGAGGUAUUCACUCUGUCAUGGUGUGCUAUAAGUUAAACUAUACUUAUGUUAAAUAGUAAAAUAAUUUAUGAGUGGUCCCAAAUUAGGGAUCUUGACUUUUGUGUGAAUAUGUUUGAUUUAUUGCAUUUAUGAAACCUAACAUCAGAGGUUGAAUUAAAAAAUAAGUCCUGGUUUUACACUGUGUUGAUGGAGGCCGGCACAGGCACACUGUAAUCUAUAAAUCAUAUUCAUAAUCCAUAAAUCAAAGCUGGCAUAUAAAGCAGGUAGUCAAAGCCCUGCAGUCCUAUUCCGCUACAGAGCAUUGUAAAUAAUGCAUUAUCUGGGCACUCGUGGUGCUGGAGAGAUGUUUGUUAUUCAGUUGGUGACACAGCCUCAUAUGGAGCUCCAUACCCAGUGUGACAUUUGGUAUUAGGUCCUGUUAGUCUUGUGUCACACUUAACGCUGGGAGAACUGGACAAAAAAGGUGAACCUGAGGUCCAAGAAAAUACCUACACAGCAAACACAGGAAAAAAAAAAGUCUUUAUCUGUUUUGACAAUACCAGAGCUUUUUAAUAUACCAAUAAGAGUUUCUCACUGGAACAUAUGGAGCUAUUUCUUCUCAUCAUUUUUAAUUUGUUAUAUGAUAGAAGCAUUUUUUGAAGUUGUUUAAAGAAGAUUUUAGUUAAAACUGAGAUGCACACAGAUUUAAUCACCAUCCUUGAAGUUUGUUUAUUGUGCAUUACUUUAGCUGCAGUACUGAUAAUGUCCACUAGGAGUCCCUGCAAGCAUACAGGUGCCAGAAAAAAAGCUCAGGGCCCUUUUCCACAAGCAGCUUCCUUUUGUGCGUGAAACCUUUAAUUUUUUUUUUUCAGUUUUCAUAACAGUCUACAUAAAACAACAACAACAACAACAAAAUCAACAACAACAAAACACCCUUUAAAAAAAAAAUGGAAAUUAAAAUCUCAGCAAUGUGUUUCCAGGUGUUCAAGUAUUCACCUAAGAGAAACUUUUGUUUUCAGUUAAGUUCAUGACACCUCUUUGAUGCAUAGACUUCAUGGGUCAAUCCUUGCAUAAAAUAUUAUCAAUAUUUGCACACAGAAGCACCUUCCUUUAAAAAAUAGAAGCAUUUAGAUAAAUGGCAAGAUUUUGCAACAAGCUCUGCAGUUGAAUUAUCUAAAGUAAUACCAAAAUCCACAAGUCCUACCUGAAGCAGGUGAGAAAAACACAACAAACAAGCUUUAGAGCCUGGUUAACACCCACCGCCUCAGAAGUAUGGUUUAAACAUCUGGAGUAUAUAAGGACACAGUAAGCAAUGAGAACCUGUGGUGGAACGACAAAACGGGACCAAAGUGACACAAAAACAGGCAGGGCAGAGUGGAUAAAAUUAGGUCAGACACAUGUGAAGAAAGCAAGACAUAAACAUCACCUGAUAACUCGACCUGUAAGUAAAAGGGUGAGAAGAUCAAGCCCAGAUCAGCUGGAGAGAGGGGCAUAUGGAGAAAAGUGUGGGAGUGGGCUUAACCACUAACAAGCUUCUAAUAUCUGCUGAACAGGCAAUAAUAUGUAAAUGUUCAAACUCUUUACUCUCAGUCAAAUCUAUCAGUUUUUGUUGAUUUUUGAAUUCAGGAUUUUUCUGUGUAGUGCAGGGUUUUAACACAGUGAAACUGAAGCUUUUCAAUUAAAAUGUGGGCACAUGUUUAACACAGCAUAAUCACCCAUACAUGUAAACUACCCUUGAGGAACCUCCUCACUCCAUGAGGUUCAGGGUCUCAGCUUUAGAGUAAUCUAAUCAGAUCAAAACUAUGGGACUAGAUCGAAUCCAAACAAAAGAAUUAUUGAGGAAUUAAAAUUAUGUCAGGCCAUCUGAUCUUUUUUCACGCUGUCAGUAUUUUAGGGCCUGUGUCCACUGAUGGCAUUUUUCAUUUUGGCAGCUUCCACAACCUUAAAGUCAGUGUCCUUUUCACUGGUGCUGACUGUUUCUUUGUGACAAAAGCUGGUCCCAGGCUAUCUUCAGGUCUGUGUUAGCCUGCUAUGUUUACCUGAUUUUUGCUCAAGGAUACUUCACCAAGAGAGAACAAUGAAACCAUUGAAAAAGUUUGUGCAGCUACAGAUAGUGGGUCGGGCUGCACUGCAUAAAUUUACCACUGCGCGGGGUUCAUCCUCCUGCUGCCAGUAGGCACAAAUUUACAGCCCAACAUUACCUUCAUUUGACCUACGAAGAAGCAGAGAGUUGGAUUUAAGGCAGACCUUUGGCUUCCUUGGAAGGCCCAGUGUGCUCGCCUAUCAGUCAAGUCAGCUUUGUAUCUACUGCUGCAAAACUUGUGUAACUGUAACAUCUAUGAAACAGGUCAAUAAAAAUCCACCCCCUGCAGAUAAAAAAAUUAGCUAUCAAGACUAAAACCUUCUAUUGGACCAGGCUGUAAACACUCUUUUUGAUAAAAGUGAAUGUGUUUCCAGUGAGGCUUCUGGCCUCAAGCGGGUACUUUGGGAACUGCAGUUAUUAGCGCUUCAUUUGACAAGAACAGAAACUGCUGCUGAAGUUGUGGGCCCUAUUAGCAUGAAAAAAGUGUUGAAGGACAUAGCAUCUAAUUGUUAAAAUUGAAUUAAUGCCUAUUGUGUACAAUACCCGCUUUAUUAAUCAGCAAAGUAGCUGUUAUACAACAAAGAAAGAGACAUUUAUGCUGUGAUUUAUAAAAAGAGCUUGGAGCUCAGGGAAAUUCGAUCCCAUCUUAUCUAACCUACAUCGCAUUACGUUAAAUGAUUUAAAGAAAUGUUUUUUUUUUGCAGCUUAUGGUACCUGCAGGGCUAUAACAUUCAGUUUAUAGCUUUAGCUUUAUCUUUCUUUUAUAUGAGUGAUAAUCCCUGCUUUUAUCAUUUCCCUCCCUGUCAUUUGAUAUGGAUUAAGAAGGUCUUUAAAUGAACAUCAUCAGGGCUCCUCUCUUUCCUGGAUCACAUUAAUUAAUCUGGACAGCUUUGCAGCCAUUCAGGAAUGUGUCCUCAGGCUGAUGCAGGGUUCAGGAGAGGACACCGAAGGUUACGUGUAGGACGGCCUGCAGUGUGGAGAGCAGGAUUAUUUGAUCAUGGCUGUAAAGUGAUUCCUGGAAGUGAGCUGCUCAGAGAGAGGUCAGUGAGGUGAUCAGGACAGAGACAAUGCCUGCUGUAAGGAGGAUUCAUGGACCAGAGACAGAAAGGAGAUUACAACUCUGAUCAGCUUUUUCACCUCUGGAUCAUAAUCCCGGAUCGGCUCAGGGGAUUUUCAACACUUCAGCAGAACAUCAAAAGACAAACAGAGAUGAACAGAGACAUACAAAGACACACAAAGACACACAGACACUAUUGACUAGAAGCUUUGUGAGGCAAAGUUUAGGCUUUUUUAGAACGUACGUACUUUAUAUGUGACUUUUUUCACAGCUGUUUGAAACUGUCUGUCUCGUGUUUUUUUCUGUUCUGCUCAUUUUUUUUGUUGGUUCAGUAGCU